AGUGAACGCUGGCGGUAGGCCUAACACAUGCAAGUCGAACGGCAGCACAGUAAGAGCUUGCUCUUACGGGUGGCGAGUGGCGGACGGGUGAGGAAUACAUCGGAAUCUACUUUUUCGUGGGGGAUAACGUAGGGAAACUUACGCUAAUACCGCAUACGACCUACGGGUGAAAGCAGGGGAUCUUCGGACCUUGCGCGAUUGAAUGAGCCGAUGUCGGAUUAGCUAGUUGGCGGGGUAAAGGCCCACCAAGGCGACGAUCCGUAGCUGGUCUGAGAGGAUGAUCAGCCACACUGGAACUGAGACACGGUCCAGACUCCUACGGGAGGCAGCAGUGGGGAAUAUUGGACAAUGGGCGAAAGCCUGACCCAGCCAUACCGCGUGGGUGAAGAAGGCCUUCGGGUUGUAAAGCCCUUUUGUUGGGAAAGAAAAGCAGCAGGUUAAUACCCCGCUGUUCUGACGGUACCCAAAGAAUAAGCACCGGCUAACUUCGU
rnacentral:rRNA from 1 species